CAUUCCAUCAUCCGCGAUUCAUCAUCAUCUCCUGGAAAUCUUUUAUCCUGUGAGCAUCCCAACUUAGUCUACGGUUUCCUCUCAACCAUCAUCCGAAUUCCCUGUUUUCCAGCCAUGCCGAGCAUCACGGAAGAAGCUCACGCGUGCAUGCUCCACGUCCGCCGCUUCAUCCUCCCGAGCUUCACGGCAUCCAAACACGCUACCUUGCUCUCUUUCGAAACCAAAGUAUCAAGGAUAAGCUUCAAAUCCCAACCUUCUCCAAGAUCUUGCAGUUCACCCUGUUCGUGAUAAGCAUCCAGCAUACAUGGGAUAGGUCUCAGGCGUCUGUUCACAGCAUCAAAAUCUUAUCCCAUUUACAAAUCCACACCAUCCUCUGUUACCAGCCGAAUCCAGCCAUUCCCGAGCUUCUUGUCAUUCCGGAUUGCUCCUAUCAUCCAUAGGAUAAGGUUUAGGUGUUCAUUCCGAAGCUAGAUCCCAUGAUCUUCGGAUCAAACUUCUUCCCCUGUUUCGGAAUAAAGCCGCAUGACCCAUGAUAAGCUCAAAUCCCAGCUUCACCCGGAUUCGUUCUAGAUAUCUCCCAAACAUCUGCAGCAAAUCCCCUGCAUCCUCAUCCCGUUCGGAUCACUUCACCAUCCACGAAUUCCUCCCACGCAACAGGAUCAGUUUCAAUAUCAACACCUCAUGCGAUCGUUCCCAGCGAAUCUUCAACGCCUCUACUUCCUAAACAAAUCCAGCAGGAUUCCAACGCCACGGAUUAGCUUCCCAGCAUAUCCACCGCAUCCAAGGAUCAACAUCAAGAGUUAUCUGCCAGCCUUUCAUCUUUAUAUCGCACUCGGAACAGGGGAGGAGUGAGGGCUGGUGGAGGCUAUAAAAGGGGAGGAGACGGACCCCAUGAAGAAAGCUCUCAUAGGCCAAGUUCUCACGGGAAGAAAAGGAAAGGGUGAGAGAGUAGUUUUGGGUAUUUUGGGAAUGAUUUCCUAAAGAAAAAAUUAAUGAAGUUCAGGAGGGAGAAGAAGCCGGCAGGAGAAAGGAGGGAGAACCGAGUCGUGAUGAAGGUCCUCUACAUCGCU
rnacentral:lncRNA from 1 species